CACGUAGGGCGCAAGCGUUGUCCGGAAUUAUUGGGCGUAAAGAGCUCGUAGGCGGUUUGUCGCGUCUGCCGUGAAAGUCCGGGGCUCAACUCCGGAUCUGCGGUGGGUACGGGCAGACUAGGGUGAUGUAGGGGAGACUGGAAUUCCUGGUGUAGCGGUGAAAUGCGCAGAUAUCAGGAGGAACACCGAUGGCGAAGGCAGGUCUCUGGGCAUUAACUGACGCUGAGGAGCGAAAGCAUGGGGAGCGAACAGG
rnacentral:rRNA from 1 species